rnacentral:rRNA from 1 species
AACGAACGCUGGCGGCAGGCCUAAACAUGCAAGUCGAACGCUCUAGCAAUAGAGAGUGGCGCACGGGUGAGUAACACGUGGGAAUGUGCCUUUUGGUACGGAACAACUUUUGGAAACGAAAGACUAAUACCGUAUGGUCCCUUCGGGGUAAAGAUUUAUCGCCAAAAGAGCAGCCCGCGUCUGAUUAGCUAGUUGGUGAGGUAAUGGCUCACCAAGGCGACGAUCAGUAGCGGUCUGAGAGGACGAUCAGCCACACU